CUCAGGACCGAAUGGAUUCCAAUCUAUUUGCUGCAUGACCCUCAUUCCUGUUGUGCCUUAAAUAAAGCCAGAUGUCAUUUGCGGCAGGAUCGUUCCAUCAGCCGACAGACGUGGCUCUUCCCCUGAUACUCUCCAUUGCAGGAGAUGAGUGACGCUUUGAGAAUCAAAAUCAGAUUUCUGCUGAUGUGAAGGUUUGGCCUGCUGGCCGUGGCCAAAUCAGACUCCACAGAAACGGGGUCAAAGGCUAUGAAGGAGCACGAAGCCAUUAAAGACCAGACACAAAACGGAGAAACCGGUCCUCCCUCGUCUCCCUGAGGUCCACUCUGUCACACAUCUUCAAGGUGGCACACACAGCCACGUUCCAGAAACCACCGCCAGAGCUAUUAAUAGAACGGCCAUGCCUGGGAAAUUCUGCAGAAUUUGCUUGAAUCUACGGAGCAGUCACUCUGCUAACGAGGUGGUACUGGAGAAAGGCACCGAGUUCCUGCCGGCACGGGGGCCGCCCGCACAGCUUUCAGAGCGCAGGACGGGUUAACCUCUCCUAAAUGCGACAGGCACCGGCGCCUGGGCAGCUGUCUGCAAUACAGACGCAACGCCGUUUGGUCAUUUUUCAAUGACCGCGACCUAACGAAGGUUUCCUCCGGCUCUUCUCCUCCCUCUUUUCUCUAUGCAUCAAACUUGCUGCAGCCAUUUGGAACGUAAAAGAGCAGCCUAUUUCAGCACCAUCAUCUGCCUGCCUCCUGC
rnacentral:lncRNA from 1 species